rnacentral:ncRNA from 2 species
CGAUCAAUAAAGGGGUGCCUAUUUCCGGAAAAUCCGGGAUUAAAAUAAGGCUGAGAUUAUACCCAUUGAACCUGAUACAGAUAAUGCUGUCGCAGGGAGGUAUGGUAAAACAAAUU